GUCGUCAUAGCCAAGUGGUUACGGCGACAGAUUUGAAUAUUUCAAAUAUCUGUUCCUCUUUGAGGGCGUAGGUUCAAAUCCUGCUGGCGACG